AACGAACGCUGGCGGCAUGCCUAACACACGCAAGUCGAACGAAGUCUUCGGACUUAGUGGCGCACGGGUGCGUAACGCGUGGGAAUCUGCCCUUGGGUGCGGAAUAACUUCUCGAAAGGGAUGCUAAUACCGCAUAAUGUCGUAAGACCAAAGAUUUAUCGCCCAAGGAUGAGCCCGCGUAAGAUUAGCUAGUUGGUGGGGUAAAAGCCUACCAAGGCGACGAUCUUUAGCUGGUCUGAGAGGAUGAUCAGCCACACUGGGACUGAGACACGGCCCAGACUCCUACGGGAGGCAGCAGUGGGGAAUAUUGGACAAUGGGCGAAAGCCUGAUCCAGCAAUGCCGCGUGAGUGAUGAAGGCCCUAGGGUUGUAAAGCUCUUUUACCAGGGAUGA
rnacentral:rRNA from 1 species